CCCGGCAGCAACUGCAUUCCAGUGUCCGAACAGGAAACCUGGAAACCUGCCUGCGCCUUCUCUCCUUGGGGGCCCAAGCCAACUUCUUCCACCCGGAGAAGGGGACCACACCUUUGCACGUGGCUGCCAAAGCUGGCCAGGUGCUCCAGGCUGAGUUGCUGGUGGUGUAUGGAGCUGAUCCGGGCGCUCCCGACAUAAACGGCCGGACACCCAUCGACUAUGCCAGACAGGCGUCCCAACACGAACUGGCGGAGCGGCUGGUGGAGUGCCAGUAUGAGCUGACCGACCGACUGGCCUUCUACCUUUGCGGGCGCAAGCCAGAUCACAAGAACGGGCAUUACAUCAUCCCCCAGAUGGCAGACAGGUAAGAGCUCCUCCCCCUCCCCUUUAACACCCCCCCUCCCUUUCUGCCCUUUGAGGGAAGACAUGCUGCCCCCUUGUGGCCAUUCUGGGCCAGGUGUCGCCCAUCUGGGAUCCUGUCCCAAAAUUGAUUUUUCUC